rnacentral:lncRNA from 1 species
CAUCCAUAGACUUUUUAAAUUAAGCAUGGUGCUUAGGUUAAAAUAGCCUUCUUUAAUCAAAUAAGACAUGGUGUUGAGUUUGAUUAAUGAACCGUCAGAGUUAAUACUUUCAUAGGCAUUGGAUGUAUAUCUUUUGUGGACUAACCCCUGCAGGGAAGAUUUCAAAUAGAUGGGUAAGUCCUCAAGCUAAAUUCAUGUUAGAGAUAAACUAAGGGCUGGGACACACUUCAAUAAAAAGUGUAUGACAUAUAAAGGAGGCAUAUCACCAUUCAAGGUGCACUAUGAGUAUUCUGCCAAAUGCCCCUUUGUUA